AAUAGAUACCCUGGUAGUCCACGCCGUAAACGGUGGGUACUAGGUGUGGGUUUCCUUCCUUGGGAUCCGUGCCGUAGCUAACGCAUUAAGUACCCCGCCUGGGGAGUACGGCCGCAAGGCUAAAACUCAAAGGAAUUGACGGGGGGCCCGCACAAGCGGCGGAGCAUGUGGAUUAAUUCGAUGCAACGCGAAGAACCUUACCUGGGUUUGACAUGCACAGGACGCUGGUAGAGAUAUCAGUUCCCUUGUGGUCUGUGUGCAGGUGGUGCAUGGCUGUCGUCAGCUCGUGUCGUGAGAUGUUGGGUUAAGUCCCGCAACGAGCGCAACCCUUGUCUCAUGUUGCCAGCGGGUUAUGCCGGGGACUCGUGAGAGACUGCCGGGGUCAACUCGGAGGAAGGUGGGGAUGACGUCAAGUCAUCAUGCCCCUUAUGUCCAGGGCUUCACACAUGCUACAAUGGCCGGUACAAAGGGCUGCGAUGCCGUGAGGUUAAGCGAAUCCUUAAAGCCGGUCUCAGUUCGGAUCGGGGUCUGCAACUCG
rnacentral:rRNA from 1 species